GGGCUCCGAGGCCGAGUUGCAUCCUUUGGAUCUUAGAAUAAACUGAAGGAGGCUGUCAACUCAGUCACAUGAAGAAUGUGAGAGGAGUGAGAAGACAGUAGCAGGCCAUUGUGACACUGCCCUCCCAAUGGAAACAUGGAAGUGUUGAAAAUUACAGAGUGGGAGUCUCAUGUCUGAACUUUGACACCCAGCUAGGAAAAGUGUAACCUAUCAGUUCACUUCCUGAGUACCAUUCACAAUCCAAGGGUAUGCUCAGAUGAAGCACUGUUGAAGGGUCUUCUGGGAAGGCAACAUUCCAACCUUCUAUUAUCAAUGAGCAAGGGGAGCAGAUUAAGAAGUUGGAGAAACCUGACUAUUGAGCUCUAGAGGAAGACCUCUAUGGAGAUUUUCUUGUUGACUGAGCUCAUAGCUUGAUACUUGAAGUCUGGUAGACUAUGGAAAGUGGAGAUGCUUUUGGAGGAAGUUGCUUAGAUUGGAGGAGCUGAGAAACAGUGAGCAAGAGUAAGAUGUUGAUCCACCACCUGAUCCCUUGCUGAGAACAAAGUCUCCUCUUCACAGCCUGGGAACUGGAUCAAUGAAUGAUUCUUGUAAAGCAACUCCUAGAAUUAACUUCUGAGACCAACCAUCAGCCCGUGAAAUAAUGUGAGAAAGAAGAAAUUCGGGAUCUCUCCAGACUGUUGGUUUCAAAGCAACAGCCAAAAGUGUCCUUUCUAUGAAUGAUACAUAUACACAUUAUAACUGGAUGGAUACAAAGUUUCUUCAGGUCCAUGAAUGAGUUAUUCAACAGUUGACCUGGCUCAGCAA